AUUGAACGCUGGCGGCAGGCCUAACACAUGCAAGUCGAACGGUAACAGGAAGCAGCUUGCUGCUUCGCUGACGAGUGGCGGACGGGUGAGUAAUGUCUGGGAAACUGCCUGAUGGAGGGGGAUAACUACUGGAAACGGUAGCUAAUACCGCAUAACGUCGCAAGACCAAAGAGGGGGACCUUAGGGCCUCUUGCCAUCGGAUGUGCCCAGAUGGGAUUAGCUGGUAGGUGGGGUAACGGCUCACCUAGGCGACGAUCCCUAGCUGGUCUGAGAGGAUGACCAGCCACACUGGAACUGAGACACGGUCCAGACUCCUACGGGAGGCAGCAGUGGGGAAUAUUGCACAAUGGGCGCAAGCCUGAUGCAGCCAUGCCGCGUGUAUGAAGAAGGCCUUCGGGUUGUAAAGUACUUUCAGCGGGGAGGAAGGGAGUAAAGUUAAUACCUUUGCUCAUUGACGUUACCCGCAGAAGAAGCACCGGCUAACUCCGUG
rnacentral:rRNA from 1 species